UGACGUCUGUUCCUCCUCCUGUGUGAAGUCCAUCAGGAGGAUUUGACGACGUCGCAGAGAAAUUUGGGUCUUUUUCACCCAGGAAGCUUCCGGCUGCGGCCGACAAUCACACGGCCUCCUGGUUUUGCGAGACCCAACAAAU